GGAGCCGAGAUUGCUCCCCUUCCGCUGGGACGUGGAGAAAAUGGCGGACUCGAAGCAUGUGCAGUUCAUCGUCAUCAAUGGCAACCCAACAGCCCCGACCAUCCGAGCGCAAUAGGGAGAUACGAUCGUCGUGCAAGUCAGGAAUGGCUUGGGAGAAAAUCUCGUGAUCGUUUGGCAGGGAAUUGAAAAGGUCCUCAAUCGGCAGUGUAACGGAGCAGAUCAACCCAUUCCGGCGGGACAAGUGGUUACCUAUUGCCUGGCCGCGAAGCAGGCAGGGGUCUUCUCGUAUCAAGCGCAAUCCAAGCUUCAGAGAGAUGAUGGUUUGAAGGGUUCGAUUGUGGCUCCGUAGAACGGCGGAUAAAGUUAGACGUAAUGUUAUAUGGUCA